ensembl:misc_RNA 7SK 7SK RNA
GGAUGUGAGGGUGAUCUGGCUGCGACAUCUGUCACCCCAUUGAUCGCCAGGGUUGAUUCGGCUGAUUUGACUGGCUAGGCGGGUGUCUCCUUCUUCCCUCACCGCUCCAUGUGCUUCCCUCCCAAAGUUGCGCGCUCGGUCGAAGAGGACGACCUUCCCUGACAGAGGAGGACCGUUCUUCGGUCACAAGUGUAUGAGUAGCUGCGCUCCCCUGCUAGAACCUCCAAACAAGCUCUCAAGGUCCAUUUGUAGGAGAACGUAGGAUAGUCAAGCUUCCAAGACUCCAGACACAUCCAAAUGAGGCGCUGCACGUGGCAGUCUGCCUUUCUUU